AGAGUUUGAUCCUGGCUCACAGCGAACGCUGGCGGCAUGCUGAACACAUGCAAGUCGCACGGGGCGGGGAUAACUCUGUCAGUGGCGCACGGGUGAGUAACACGUGACUAACCUACCCAGGAGUGGGGGAUAACUGAGGGAAACCUUAGCUAAUACCGCAUAACACCUACGGGUCAAAGGAGCAAUUCGCUUCUGGAGGGGGUCGCGGCCGAUUAGUUAGUUGGCAGGGUAAUGGCCUACCAAGACGAUGAUCGGUAUCCGGCCUGAGAGGGCGCACGGACACACUGGAACUGAAACACGGUCCAGACUCCUACAGGAGGCAGCAGUGGGGAAUUUUGCGCAAUGGGGGAAACCCUGACGCAGCAACGCCGCGUGGAGGAUGAAGUCCUUCCGGACGUAAACUCCUUUCGAUCGGGACGAUAAUGACGGUACCGGAAGAAGAAGCCCCGGCUAACUUCGUGCCAUCAGCCGCGGUAAUACCAGGGGGGCAAGCGUUGUUCGGAAUUAUUGGGCGUAAAGGGUGCGUACGCAGUUUGGUAAGUCUGAUGUGAAAUCUAUGGGCUCAACUCAUACUCUGCAUCGGAGACUGCCGGGCUUGACUAUGGGAUACGUGAGUGGAAUUCCUGGUGUAGCUGUGACAUGCGUAGAUAUCAAGAGGAACACCUGUGGCCAAAGCGGCUUGCUGGUCUGACUCUGACGCUGAGGUCCGAAGACUAUGGCAGCGAACGGCAUUAGAUACCCCGGUAGAUCUAGCCGUCAACGAUGAAUGCUUGGUGUCUGGGGUUCCAUAGUCCCCGGGUCCG
rnacentral:rRNA from 1 species